UUCCUACGGGGGGCAGCAGUGAGGAAUAUUGGUCAAUGGGCGGGAGCCUGAACCAGCCAAGUCGCGUGAGGGAUGACGGCCCUAUGGGUUGUAAACCUCUUUUGCCGGGGAGCAAAGUGCCGCACGUGUGCGGUUUGGAGAGUACACGGAGAAAAAGCAUCGGCUAACUCCGUGCCAGCAGCCGCGGUAAUACGGAGGAUGCGAGCGUUAUCCGGAUUUAUUGGGUUUAAAGGGUGCGUAGGCGGUCCGGAAAGUCAGCGGUAAAAGCCCGGGGCUCAACCCCGGCGAGCCGUUGAAACUGUCGG
rnacentral:rRNA from 1 species